rnacentral:lncRNA from 1 species
AUCCAUCAGUGUGUGGCCAAAGGUUUCAUUGGUGCUUUCUCAUCAUUGCGAGUUUUCAGAUGCUGGACAGUCACUUCUUCCAAGGCCCCAAACACUGCAAUGUGACCAGGCUGUUCCACUGCAAAUACAUAGAGUGUGUGUACUUUCAACACUGAGACUUAAGGUCACUGUAGCCACCAGAUCCAGUCUGUAUUCAGAUCAGAUGGUGAAUCAGCCCCUUGAGACGCCCUUGACAGCCCUGAAUGUCAGCGGAGACCAGGACAACUAGAUGAACCCCAGAGACAGAUCCCCUCCGAAGACCUCGUCACCUAGACAGCCACAGUAACCAGACCAGUCCUCUGCACAAUCUGACCUGUGUUGGACUCUGCAUUUAAUCUGCUGGAUUUGUCUGGCCAGAGAAGAAUGAUGGAGUUUUGGUUCCUUCGACACAAUUUUUCUGUUUAAUACUGUAAAGCUGCUUUGACAAUCUGUAGUCUGAAAAGCACUAUGUAAAUACAGUGACUGGACUUUACUUGACUCAUUUCAGUUGAACUGUAACACCUGGUUCAUUUAUUUUUUUCUGACUUCUGCCUCAUUUUAAAUAUGUAAUUGUGAACAGUAGUAAUAUUUGUAAAUGUUUGUUUGGAAACAUUUUGUUUAACUUGUUUAGUAUUUUUUAAGUUCAUUAAACAAAAUGUUUAAAAUAAAUUUUCCAGUUGUAUUACAAAUGUAAUGUUUGAAAACUGCAGCACUUAAAAUGGAUAGCUCACCCAAAAAUUGAAUUUUUCUGUCAUUUUAUUGACCCUGAGGCCAUCCCAGAUGUCAAUGACUUUUUUUCUUCAGUAGAACAGUAAAGAAGAUUUUUAUCUGAAACGGUAAUCCUUGGCGAUUCAUACACUGCAAGUCUGUGGCUGCUGGUUUUUGAUUGUUUAGCUUCAUAAGGCCUCAAUGUGUCCUCAAGAGUCUUUGGUAAUUUGGUCUAUACAUGUUUAUUUGACCUUUAACAGCCGGCAGCCAGAGACGUGCAGUUUAUGAAUUACAAUGUUGUUUAAAGACAAUGUUUUCACCUAAAAAUUUCCUUUACUGUUCAGUUGAAGAAAAUAAGUUAACUACAUCUUGGAUGGCUUGAGGUGAGUUAAUUAACAGCAAAUUUUCAUUUUUGGGUGAACUACCCCUUUAGCCUUCAUGUUUAGUCUGUAUGACAAAUGUUAUAAAUGCAGAUUGUUAUUAAAUAAAGGCUAUAAUGUGUUGUAAUGUGUGUGUGUUUUAGUGAUCGAUAGACACAAAGUAGUAAUUUUCUUCAUAUAAAAUAUUGUAACUUGUUCCACAGCAAUUUCUUAUGAUGCACAAAUAAUAAAUCUUUGUUGAGGUAACAUAUGAAACACAUAGAGUGAAAGGUUAAAUUUUAAUUGACACAAUUUGCUGUAGUUUUCUAAAUGUUUGACCAAUUAAAUAAUUUUAACUGAAUGGACUAUAAAACUAUUUCAGUAAAGGUUGAGCCAACUAAAAAAAAUAACAAUUCAGGCAACACUUUGAAGACAGAAAUUGACUGAAUGUAAAAUUUCUGUGGAACUUGUUACUAAAUAAGUAGUUGAAACUGCUUGAAAUUUUACAGUGUAGGACUAGUUCACAAAAGUAGGUAUUUUUUUUUUUUUANAAUUCUCAAAUAUUUAAGGAACUAGUUUGAUUGACUAGCAUUAGUCCCAGAGGAAAAAGUUGUUCAGAUUGAGGAGAUCUAUAUAUGACAUGAAGAUCUAGUGUUUGUGUUAAUAUAUGGGCAUGGGCAUG